AGCCACUGCUAUCGGGCUCCGACUAAGCCAUGCGAGUCUAGGGGCUCUUCGGAGCACCGGCGGACUGCUCAGUAACACGUGGACAACCUACCCUCGGGUGGGGGAUAACCUCGGGAAACUGAGGCUAAUACCCCAUAGACCUCGGAUACUGGAAUGUUCCGAGGCUGAAAGCUCCGGCGCCCGAGGAUGGGUCUGCGACCUAUCAGGUAGUUGGUGGUGUAAAGGACCACCAAGCCUACGACGGGUACGGGCCCUGAGAGGGGAAGCCCGGAGAUGGACUCUGAGACACGAGUCCAGGCCCUACGGGGCGCAGCAGGCGCGAAACCUUCGCAAUGUGCGAAAGCGCGACGAGGGGAGCCCGAGUGCCCUUCCUUCGGGGAGGGCUUUUCUGGAGCCUAAAAGGCUCCAGGAAUAAGGGCUGGGCAAGACGGGUGCCAGCCGCCGCGGUAAUACCCGCAGCUCAAGUGGUGGCCGCCUUUAUUGAGCCUAAAGCGUCCGUAGCCGGACCCGUAAAUCCCUGGGUAAAUCCUGGCGCUCAACGUCAGGAAUUCCGGGGAGACUGCGGGCCUUGGGACCGGGAGAGGCUGGAGGUACUCCCGGGGUAGCGGUGAAAUGCUGUAAUCCUGGGGGGACCACCUGUGGCGAAAGCGUCCAGCUUGAACGGCUCCGACGGUGAGGGACGAAGGCCAGGGGAGCGAACCGGAUUAGAUACCCGGGUAGUCCUGGCUGUAAACGCUGCCCGCUUGGUGUUGCCGGUCUUUCGGGGGCCGGCAGUGCCGGAGCGAAGGUGUUAAGCGGGCCGCUUGGGAAGUACGGCCGCAAGGCUGAAACUUAAAGGAAUUGGCGGGAGAGCACUGCAACGGGAGGAGCGUGCGGUUU
rnacentral:rRNA from 1 species